rnacentral:lncRNA from 1 species
GAUUCAUCCAAAUGAACAAGGCCAUUUAUCCAUUUUCAAUUAAACAAAUAUACUGAGAGUAAUGAACAUAUAAAUGAAGUAUCAAUUUAACUUAUAGCAUGCUCUAGAUAAUUGCUUGUUAAUCAUCAAAAUAACACUAUCAUCCUCAAUCUCCCCCUUUUUGAUGAUUACAAAAUAAAGAGUAUAAGCCUAUUGAUACUUGUCUUUAAAAUCAGUUUAUAAAAGGAAUUAAACUGCUGAAUUUCAGCUUUUCAUAUAUACUUGUGAAAUCUCCCCCUAUAUCAUUUAAAUGUUGCCAAUUUGACUCUUUGAAUUGCUCCCCCUUUCAUUUAUAAUUCAUUAGUGAUGAAACUUCAAAAAUUUGAGAUAAAAUAUGAGUUUCAGGUUAUGUAUCGGGGUGCGAGAGGUGCGUGCCAAAUUCUGAAUUUAUAUGUGCCAAAUUCUGAAUUUUGAUAGAAAUUUUUGAUUUAAUCAAUUUCAUUGUUACAAAUUGCUCCCCCUUAGAUGUAUAAGCUUUCUUAUAUGAUUUUCAAUUUGUUUUACAAAUUAUUUCUCUUUCUUUCUUUACUUCUCCUCUUAUUACUCUUUCUUUACUUCUCCCCCUUUUUGUUACUCUAUUUACUCUAAAGAUAUCUUUACUUCUCCCCUAUUACUCUUUCUUUACUUCUCCCCCUUUUUGUUAUCAUCAAAUAGGUACAUGGGAAAAGAUGCAAUAAAUACCAAACUUCAAACUUCAUUGAACAAAAUAGGAACAUUUUAGUAUAUCAAAAGCAAAAGCAAAUACAAUAUUCCUCAAUCAAAGUUUAAAGAUGCAUGAUAACCACCAAAUACAUAUGAGAACUAGAUACAUAUCCUAGUCUCUAAACAAGAUCGUGAGACUCUCCCGGAUCGCUUGGCUACGGCUCUCUCGGGUCCCAUUUCUCCAAGAUCUUGAAGUAAUC